UACGUAGGGUGCGAGCGUUGUCCGGAAUUAUUGGGCGUAAAGAGCUCGUAGGCGGUCUGUCGCGUCGGUCGUGAAAACCUGCAGCUUAACUGUGGGCGUGCGGUCGAUACGGGCAUGACUGGAGUUCGGCAGGGGAGACUGGAAUUCCUGGUGUAGCGGUGAAAUGCGCAGAUAUCAGGAGGAACACCGAUGGCGAAGGCAGGUCUCUGGGCAUUAACUGACGCUGAGGAGCGAAAGCAUGAGGAGCGAACAGG
rnacentral:rRNA from 1 species